GACGAACGCUGGCGGCGUGCUUAACACAUGCAAGUCGAACGGUGAAGCGCCUUCCUUUUUGGUGGGUGUGGAUGAGUGGCGAACGGGUGAGUAACACGUGAGUAACCUGCCCCCUUCUUCUGGAUAACCGCAUGAAAGUGUAGCUAAUACGGGAUAUUCUGGGUCUGUCGCAUGAUGGGUCUGGGAAAGAUAUUGUUUCGGUGGGGGAUGGGCUCGCGGCCUAUCAGCUUGUUGGUGGGGUGAUGGCCUACCAAGGCGGUGACGGGUAGCCGGCCUGAGAGGGUGGACGGUCACACUGGGACUGAGACACGGCCCAGACUCCUACGGGAGGCAGCAGUGGGGAAUAUUGCACAAUGGGCGCAAGCCUGAUGCAGCGACGCCGCGUGAGGGAUGGAGGCCUUCGGGUUGUGAACCUCUUUCGCCAGUGAAGCAGGCCUGCCUCGUUUGUGGGUGGGUUGACGGUAGCUGGAGAAGAAGCGCCGGCUAACUACGUG
rnacentral:rRNA from 1 species